AUGCGUUAUCACUUGCCUAUUAUUCUCCGAUUGUAUGAGCAUGCAUAUUUAACUACCCAUGUGUUUCUAGAAAAAAAGCAACCGCAUACAUUAUCACAAUGCCUAUUAUUCUCCAAUUGUAUGAGCAUGCAUAUUUGCUUUCAAUUUUCAAUGAAUUUUAUUAUGGGAGCAUCUUGGUUUCUAUUGCCGUUUUGUCGUCAUUCAACUAUAACAUUGAACUUAAAAAGGUUUAAUUAA